rnacentral:lncRNA from 1 species
UCCCGUUUGAAGUGGUGACUAAAUGGAGUCAAAUUGUCCUAAUUAUACUCACAAUGAACAAAAGGAUCAUGGCACCAAUUUAAUUGAAAAAACUAAUAAUAAUGAAAAUUCACCUCAAUAUGUCAAACGUAAAUAAAUUUAAGAAUAUUUAAAAAUUACAAAUUGAACAUACUCAAAAGUAACAUAAUUAGCUAUUAAAGAAAAGAAACAAUCAUAAUAAAGAGAGUCAAAAUUCAUCAGGGACUGAAUUGCAAAAACUGAAAAACUUUUGGGGACAAAAAUUAUAUUUUUCCAAAGUUUAGAGGUCAAAAUUAAAUGAAAGAUAGAAUUCAAGGACCAAAAUGCAAUUAAUUUAAGGACCUAAGUGAAACAAAUUUAAAAUAUUCUGGGCCGAAGUGAAACUACUCCAAAGAUCAGGGGCCAAAGUGAAAAUCGUAACCAGAUCUGGGCAAGAACAAGGGCAUCGGGCCGCUCUUUUUAUUUUACUUGGGCCAAACCUACCUAAGCCCAACUGAAAAACCAAGCUAAAACACCAGGCCAGCCCGUCUUUUUAUCCCUCAAGCCCAGCCAAAAAACACAUGGGCUCCAAGCUCCUAGCCCAACUGAAACCCAAAAGAAAACAUAAACCAAAGCCCAGCCCCAAAACCUAACAAAACUAGCUCUUGGCCCAACCGAAAAAUAAACAUUAGCCCAAUCCCCUUUUUUCUUUUCUUUUCUUUUUCUUCUUCUUCUACCCUUCCGGUUCUUCUUUUCCUUGCCUGGCCGGCUGAAGCUCCUCGCCACCGCCAACCAUGGCUGACAUGGCGGCUGCCGGCGCCGCCACCGCCGGUCGCCGGCCAUUUUUCCGAUCACAAAAUUUCACCAAAAUACACCCCCUCACUCGAUUUUUCGCGUAGGUUCCAUUUCCGGAGUUAGUUUUUACAAAAAGUGAGCCGAAAGUGGUCAAAAUGCCAAGAAAUCAGUUCAGUUUUUAUUUUUUCAAAACACCAUAUCUUUCAUCAAAAAUCAUGAAAAUUAUACUACAACACUCUUACAACUCCUACAAUACAAAUAUGAUUUUAUUUUGACAAGAAAAACAACAUAAAAGGACUAAAAUAAAUCAAAACAGUCCCCUAAGAUUCUUUCUUUUCAUUUUGGUAUUUUUUCAAACGGUUAACAUGCAUGCAUAAAAAACAUUUCCUUUUCCUCAAUCUAGUUCAUGCCAUUUCCCAAUUUUCAGCAAUACAACAACAACAAUAAAAACCAGCAAAAGCAAGAUAAAUUAAAAUCAAAAUGCAUCUAAUAUGCUUAAAAAAAAAACUGGAAAAUACCUCAAUGAAAGUGGAAUUGCCUUGGCUGAAGUUUUUUUUUGAUGCCUUUCUUUCUUUUUUCGGUAGAGAGCCAAGAGAGAGAGCCGAGAGCCUCCCUUCUUUUUUCCUUGUUUCUGUUUUUGUUUCUUGUCCUCCGUCUGUGAGAGCCGAGAGAGUAGAUUGAGGAAGUAGUUUUUUUCUUUUUUUUUUCUUCUUCUUUUCGGUCCAGCCCAGAGAGAGCCGAGAGCCUUUUUUUUUGUGUCAUUUUUUUUCUCCUUUUUUUCAAGAGAGAGCCCAGAGGGAUGGAGAUUUUCUUUUUUUUUUUCUUUUUGGCUUCCCUGUUGUGUCCUCUGGGAGAGAGCUGAGAGAGGAGAUCGAGGAAGUAAAAGGUGGGGAGUUUUGUGUGUUGGAUUGCCCAAAAUGAUGGUUUCUGCGGAUGAAAAGAAAGGUCCUUGGCAAUUGAGUGUGAAAUGGGUUAAAUGUAU